rnacentral:rRNA from 1 species
UACGGAGGGGGGCUAGCGUUGUUCGGAAUUACUGGGCGUAAAGCGCACGUAGGCGGCUUUGUAAGUUAGAGGUGAAAGCCCGGGGCUCAACUCCGGAAUUGCCUUUAAGACUGCAUCGCUAGAAUUGUGGAGAGGUAAGUGGAAUUCCGAGUGUAGAGGUGAAAAUUCGUAGAUAUUCGGAAGAAACACCAGUGGCGAAGGCGACUUACUGGACA